rnacentral:rRNA from 1 species
GACGAACGCUGGCGGCGUGCUUAACACAUGCAAGUCGAACGGAAAGGCCCUGCUUUUGUGGGGUGCUCGAGUGGCGAACGGGUGAGUAACACGUGAGUAACCUGCCCUUGACUUUGGGAUAACUUCAGGAAACUGGGGCUAAUACCGGAUAGGAGCUCCUGCUGCAUGGUGGGGGUUGGAAAGUUUCGGCGGUUGGGGAUGUACUCGCGGCUUAUCAGCUUGUUGGUGGGGUAGUGGCUUACCAAGGCUUUGACGGGUAGCCGGCCUGAGAGGGUGACCGGCCACAUUGGGACUGAGAUACGGCCCAGACUCCUACGGGAGGCAGCAGUGGGGAAUAUUGCACAAUGGGCGGGAGCCUGAUGCAGCAACGCCGCGUGCGGGAUGACGGCCUUCGGGUUGUAAACCGCUUUCGCCUGUGACGAAGCGUGAGUGACGGUAAUGGGUAAAGAAGCACCGGCUAACUACGUG